AGGCACCGCGGGACAGCCGCGGGCGGUGCUGCGGGGCCGCUCCCGCACUAAGGCUCGGCCUCGGGAGCAGCCGCUCCCAGCCCCGCACGGGGCCCGGCAGCGCUCGGCGAGGAACCCCCGUUCCAGUCUCCGAGGAGCGAACGCGGCCGUUUCACACAUCUCCGCGGUUACAAGAUCCGGAUGUGCCUCCAGUUACAAGAAAAAAAAACCGCCGAGGAAGGGAAUCCAACUAGAGUCAGAAAGAAAAAAAAAAAAGCAGGAGGCGAAGGACGCCAGAGCCCCUGAGGUGCCCUCACGACCCUCCCGGGAGCGCAGCGAGCCGGGGGCUGUGAAGGACAGUCCUGACGGGGAAGGGCACAGACCCGGAGCAGACCCCCUGCGGGACCCCCCGCACCCCCAGAGCCGCCCCCGUCCUUACCGGCGAGGUUCAGCGCGGCCCUGGCCACGGGGAACAUGGUGCGAGCGGAGCGCGUACCCUUCACGGCGCUGAAGAACAAAAUGGUCGCGGCGGAAGUGGCGGCGGGCGGGGGCCUGUGGGUAACGCCGAGCUCCUCCUCGCGGCGGCCGCAGCUCCGCGGCCGCGACAAAGAGCGCGGUUACCCGGCGGCUCCGCGGCACCUCCCCGGCACGGACGGGCUGUCCGUAAGGGGCCGGAGGACACAGAAACGGGCGCGGCCUUGAGAAGCGUGGUAAGGGAGUCCCGGUGGACGCUGCUAUUGCAGUGUCAGGAUGGCCGAGUGGUCUAAGGCGCCAGACUCAAGGCGUUCCGCGCCUUCCCGCCGCGGGUUUGGGUGUUCUGGUCUCCGUAUGGAGGCGUGGGUUCGAAUCCCACUUCUGACACCACUUUUUGUUUCCUAUUUUUAAGGUGUGAAUUUAAACACAUGAAAGUGCCGAACUGCUAAAGCCAAGGAUCUUAGUGCGAAUAGAAAUCAGAAAUAAUUUUCAGAAUGUGCUCGAAUAGACAAAUAAAAGCCGAAGCAUGAGUAAA